UACGAACUGUGCAAACGUUAUUCGGAUUCACUGGGCUUAAAGGGUGCGUAGGCGGCCAUGUAAGUAGGGUGUGAAAUCCCCCGGCUUAACCGGGGAACUGCGCCCUAACUGUAUGGCUGGAGUGAGAUAGGGGUGUGUGGAACUUCCGGUGGAGCGGUGAAAUGUGUUGAUAUCGGAAGGAACGCCGGUGGCGAAAGCGACACACUGGGUCUCAACUGACGCUGAGGCACGAAAGCCAGGGGAGCGAACGGG
rnacentral:rRNA from 1 species